GGAUGAGUUAGAGAAGACUACAAAGCUGAGAGGAGCACCUCCAAAAGGUUACACCCAGACCCAGAAUGAGAAAAGUAGCAAAUUCGUGACUUGGGAAGAUAGACUGCAAUAAUACAGAUAAUGCCAAGGUCAAGGAUCUUGCUGAGUGGUCAGUAAAGGAAGAGCCAGGGAGUCUCACCCUUCUACAUGGUUCUCUUAGUAUCCUGUGUGUCUGGGAGAGCCAACUUGGAAACUCUGUGGAUAUGUCCUAUUGGACAGUUUAGUACUUCACACUUGAAAUAAUUUGAUUCCAAUUUGUCAAAAGGAGGCUUUUAGUGGCCCUAGAAGGCAGUCUCAUUUGAGUUGUCAAUGAUUGCAGCUUACCAGUGUUCAAAGUCUCUUCCAGUUUCCUGCCCCCUUGGACAAGCCUCGUGCCAGGGCACACAUCCUCUGCCCACCUUCUGCUGGUGUGAGUGCUCGCUAGAGCCUUCUGCUUUAAUGCUCUCCCAACUCCUGUCAGAGGGCUGGUGUUUUCUACUGGCUCUCUGAGGGUUCUCAGAAAAGCUUGAGAAGCUCUCUUCUUAUCUGUGCAGUGAAGAGUCUUAUGCAGAGAGGGCUGCUUUAGCUAGAAAAGCCCAAAGUUGGAGAAACAUCUCUACUGAAAUGUAUCCAUGGACACUAUUUUUUUUCCAACUCUCUAAAUCAGGAUACAUGGACUCCUAUGUGUGUGAGAUGGUCAGGAGAUGCAGUUUGGAUGAGAAAGUGUUGAAGUAUCAAUUGGUUAUACAACAGGACUGAAUAUUUGAAAUCAGGACUGUUCUGGAAAGCUUAGCAUGGGAGGAGGGGUCCCAUACGUUGACGCCGGUGCCCUUCCAGAUUUCUCCCAAAUAAAAUGUGCUCUUCUAAAAGCCUGUGAACUUGUUGUUUCUGAAAAAGGAGUCAGUUGCUAUUGGAAUAUUAUUUAAGGAGACACAUGUCAAUGCCAUUCUACAAAAAUGACACUUGACCCUGGAACUCAGCUUGGCCAAACCUGCCUCCGAUCCAAAUUGUGUUCUCGGUUAUAACUUCAUCAAUGGCGUUUCUCCAAGGCCAAAGUCAAACCUCUGCCAGAGGAAGAUACCAAAGCUUCAAAGGUGGCAAAACACUAUGGCAAAAACAGAUGAUGAGCAGAAUGAACCUGCCUCACUAUCAAGGGCAAUGGGUGAAAAAUAACUCGGCAUUCAGGACUUUCCAGGAGGAACCAGACUUAUCCUUGUAAUAUCUGCACCCAUCAUCCAAGUCCACUUGGAGGAGACAAGAGAAGAGGAAAGGUUGUUAUUUCUUUUUGCUCUCCUUCAUUAGCCAAAUGAAGAGGAUGCAAUAAAACCAUGAUAACUUCUCA
rnacentral:lncRNA from 1 species